CUGGCUCGAGGAUGAACGCUAGCGGCAGGCCUAACGACAUGCAAGUCGCGGGGCAGCACGGGUAGCAAUACCUGGUGGCGACCGGCGCACGGGUGCGUAACGCGUAUGCAACCGUGCCCCCAUCAGGGGAAUAGCCCGCCGAAAGGCGGAUUAAUGCCCCAUAGGCCCAGGGCGCGCAUGGCGCUAUGGGUAAAGCUCCGGCGGAUGGGGAUGGGCAUGCGUGCCAUUAGCUAGUUGGGGCGGUAACGGCGCACCAAGGCGACGAUGGCUAGGGGGUCUGAGAGGAUGGUCCCCCACACUGGUACUGAGACACGGACCAGACUCCUACGGGAGGCAGCAGUGAGGAAUAUUGGUCAAUGGGCGGAAGCCUGAACCAGCCAUUGCCGCGUGCAGGAUGACGGCCCUACGGGUUGUAAACUGCUUUUCCCCGGGAAGAAUAAGCCCCUCGUGAGGGGCGAUGCCGGUACCGGGGGAAUAAGGAUCGGCUAACUCCGUGCCAGCAGCCGC
rnacentral:rRNA from 1 species